rnacentral:rRNA from 1 species
UACGGGGGGGGCAAGCGUUGUUCGGAAUUACUGGGCGUAAAGGGCUCGUAGGCGGCCAACUAAGUCGGACGUGAAAUCCCUCGGCUUAACCGGGGAACUGCGUCCGAUACUGGAUGGCUUGAGUUCGGGAGAGGGAUGCGGAAUUCCAGGUGUAGCGGUGAAAUGCGUAGAUAUCUGGAGGAAUACCGGUGGCGAAGGCGGCAUCCUGGACCAUAACUGACGCUGAGGCGCGAAAGCUAGGGGAGCAAACGGG